UGGUCUUACUGCCCCGACCAUUUCAGUGCUCUAAUCACAGGACACCAGAAAUGCUGAAAGUGAGGGUCAAUGAAUCUCACAGAUGCUUUGGAAUGAGUAGAAUCACUGAUCAGACCCAUUCUUGCUGGUAGUUACUGACAUCAUGCUAUAAUCUGAGAAUUUGAGAAGUCCUGUUUAUUUAGAUCAGAUAAACAGUGAGCUGAGGGCCAAAUUUAAAUGCUGCACUGCGAGCUAACAGUAUUUUUUUGAUAUUUUUGCAUGGUUGCAUUUGAAAUGGUA
rnacentral:lncRNA from 1 species